GGAAUGAGGAGCAGUGUAAUAUUGAGGAGGCUGUGGGUUGGGACAGAGGAGAAGGGUGAUGAGGAGUAGGCUCUGGUUGGGAGUGAGGAGCAGUGAGCAUAGGAGGGACUGAGGGUUGGGACUGAGGGGCACUGGGAAAAGAGGGGACAUGGGUUUAGGCGGAAGAGCAUGGCAUUUGGGGAUCCAGCAGGACAGGGGAGGCAGCAGGUGAUUCUAAUUCCUUAGGGAUAUUCUGUGUGUGUAAGUGCGAGUGCGCGUGCAGGGAAGGAACAUGCUAUAUGCCCAGAGGAUUCCUCCAGGCUGCAAGGACAAAAGGGCUGUCAGGAAGUUGUCCCUUCAAACCCACACACAAAAAGGCCCUUCUGAGGAAAGGGAAAAUCCUGAAGAGAAAAAGUAACAACAAAGAGGACUCCAGAAAGACAUUUAAAAUCUUGAGAAGUAGUUUAUCACCUUACCUGGGACUU